rnacentral:rRNA from 1 species
AACGAACGCUGGCGGCAGGCCUAACACAUGCAAGUCGAGCGCCCAGCAAUGGGAGCGGCGGACGGGUGAGUAACGCGUGGGAAUUUUUCCUGGAGUACGGAACAACCGAGGGAAACUUCGGCUAAUACCGUAUGAUAUCGAGAGAUCAAAGAUUUAUCGCUCUGGGGUGAGCCCGCGUCAGAUUAGGUAGUUGGUGGGGUAACGGCCUACCAAGCCUGCGAUCUGUAGCUGGUCUGAGAGGACGAUCAGCCACACUGGGACUGAGACACGGCCCAGACUCCUACGGGAGGCAGCAGUGGGGAAUCUUGCGCAACGGGCGAAAGCCUGACGCAGCCAUGCCGCGUGAGUGAAGAAGGUCUUAGGAUUGUAAAGCUCUUUCGCUCGUGACGAUGAUGACGGUAACGAGAGAAGAAGCCCCGGGCUAAACUUCGUGCCAGCAGCCGCGGUAAU